rnacentral:lncRNA from 1 species
AAGUUCCGGCGAAGUGAAGCUUUGGACAGUCGGACCUUUCGGGUGGCACCGCUCUCUCACGGCGGAGCUAGGGCUCCUCUCACCGGUCCAGGGAGGUUGCUGGGUUGGAGGUCGACCGAACGGGACCGGUGUGGCGGCGGUUGGUGGCCGGACGGCGGCGGGAGGACGGCCGGAAAACCGGGCAGCGGGAGGCUCGGGGAGAGGAAAAGAAAAAGAGGGAAGAAGAGAAAGGGAGGAGGAAAAAGAAAUGGGUUGGGCCUCCACCGGUCCAACCUAUAUCAACCCAAUUCAAAAAAAUAAAAACACCCCGAAAAAAUAAUACCCGAAUAAAAAUUACCUUUUACUAGCUAAAAUUUACCAUUUUUACCGUCGUCGUAUUUUCCUCAUACUAAUAAUCCUCCACACAUAAUCGUCCCCGAAACCCCUCUAGGGACCAAUUAAACUAUUUACUCAAUGAUCGAGACGGUAAAAUUCUUAUUAUAAUCACGCUAGUAAAUAAGGUAAAAAUAUAAGGGUCGGGAUGUGACACAUUAUGUAUCCUGGAUAACUCUGGAGGCAAGGCUAAUCGAUAAGCAAGUGAGCCAACUCGCUCUAUUAUCUCAUAAGGGCCAAUAAACCUCGGGUUAAGCUUUCCACGUUUACCAAAACGCACAACCCCUUUCCAAGGAGAUAAUUUCAGGAACACCCAAUCACCCACUUGAAAUUCAAGAUCUCUCCUACGGACAUCUGCAUAACACUUCUGCCUACUUUGAGCGGUCUUGAGUCUAUCUCUAACCAUUUUAAUCUUCUCAUUCGUAACAUGGAUUAACUCUCACUACCGGGGCAAGCACUUUAGCAGACUAAAAUUUUUGGUCGGCCUGUUAGCUUAAUUCGUCGGCUGAGAUCUUAGCCGACGAGACUUCGUCGGCUAUAGUUUCGUCGGGAAAGGCUCAUCGGCAAUGACUUUAGCCGACGAAACUAUAGCCCGUCGUCGGCUAUUGUCCCAUAGCUAGCCAAUAGCCGACGACAGAAGACGUCGUCGGCUUGUCUCUCAGACUUUAGCCGACGAGUCUUACAGACUUUAGCCGACGACGAGUUGUUUCGUCGGCUAGUCUCUAAACUUUAGCCGACGAAACAACUCGUCGGCUAGUUUCUUAUCUAUAGCCGACGAAACAACUCGUCGGCUAUUCUCUCAGCUUUAGCCGACGAAAUGCUUAAUAUAUUUGUCGGCUAUAGUAUGUAAUAAAAAAAAUAAAAAAUAACUAAAGCCGAUGAAAUAGACCGUAUUUCGUCAGCUUUUAAGGGUUUAGCCGACGAAACAUUCCAUUAUUCGUCGGCUAAACCCUAUUAAAAAAUAAUUAAAAAUACUAUAGCCGACGAAUUAUGGCGCAUUUCGUCGGUUAUAAGUCCAUUCCAGUAUAAAAAAAAACCUGAGAUUUUUAAAUUACCAUUCCAAGGAAGCUGCAAAAAACACAAAAACAAUUCCAUAUAACCAACAACAAGCACAUAAAAGUAUAUAAUUCAUCAACUACAUAAAAUCUAGUCGUCUAAAUUAAUAUCCGGUUCUAGGGGCUGCUGCGGAGCUUGCGGCGGCUGGGGUAACGGUAUGGGCGGAGGCAAGGGCGGAGCCGGAAGUCCCUAGAGCUGAGCAGCUGUAAAGUCCUGCGUGUACUGGAACAUCUGCCGCUGCUGGGCCUGAUGGAUGGCAUGUACCUCGGCAUUAUAGGCUGCCUGCGCGGCAUUAUAGGUUGCCUGCGCUGCAUUAUAGGCAACAUGAGCAGCUUGCUGUUCCCGUAGUCUCUGAAGUUCCGACUGUAGCAGCUGAGUCGUCCUGGUGGUCGUGGUCCUGCUGCUAGUCGAGGCUGCCUUUCGUUGAAAUCCUGGAGUGGUCUUCAGGACCCCCUCGCCCUUCUUUCCUAGACCCCGGCAGUAGAAGUUGUUUGCUCGCGGUGGGAAGGCUGUGCCCAUGAUCCUCGCCCCAACCGUCGGAUCCGAAGUGUCGAUCCGGGACAUGGCUUCGGACAUCUCUUCCUCCNNNNN